GAGUCUGCUCUCUCGUCAACUCCUUAUGGAAUUGUCAGUUGGCAUGAGAGCAGGAACAGAGUCACCCAGGCUAGGUGAGGGAGACACCCAGGCUAGGUGAGGGAGACACCCAGGCUAGGUGAGGGAAUCACCCAGGCUAGGUGAGGGAGUCACCCAGGCUAAGUGAGGGAGUCACCCAGGCUAGGUGAGGGAGUCACCCAGGCUAGGUGAGGGACAGACUGGACAG